rnacentral:rRNA from 1 species
AGCCUGAAUCAGCAUGUGUGUUAGUGGAAGCGUCUGGAAAGGCGCGCGAUACAGGGUGACAGCCCCGUACACAAAAGCGCAUGUGCUGUGAGCUCGAUGAGUAGGGCGGGACACGUGGUAUCCUGUCUGAAUAUGGGGGGACCAUCCUCCAAGGCUAAAUACUCCUGACUGACCGAUAGUGAACCAGUACCGUGAGGGAAAGGCGAAAAGAACCCCGGCGAGGGGAGUGAAAAAGAACCUGAAACCGU